CUGUCCAGGGUGGCCCUACUUAAUUACGCAUGCAACGGAGGUUUAACGAGGACUAAACGGCACAAGGCAUCACGUUAACUUCUGUUAUCUGGAUUUCUCUUUCCUGUUGGUAAUCCCCUUCUCACUCCCAUAAAAAAAUCCCCUUUCCUCUCCAGCCUUCUCUUUCCUCAACCACUCCUGAACUGCAUCACAAAGCAGUGAAAGCACAUCCAAAAGAUCUUGCACAUGGCGCCAUACUCUCAAGGCAAGCUGUCGGGAGCGAGGUCAAUGCUUACCACGCCAUUGCCAGCUGCUGCAAAUGUGCCUGCACACCUGCCGUUGGCUGGGAAGUGGUGCUCACCAUGGGCCAUCGAAGAGGACGACGGUCUCGAGGCAGGCCGCCGGGGUGGGGCGGCGGUGCUUGCCGGGUGCCACUACAGGCUUGCGCACUUGCCGUGGGGCGUCCUGAGGAGGUCGCAUCGCUCACCGUGGGAGAGUGGCCGGCGGAAGGAGCCGUGGUCGCCAUGGAGACUUAGAGCAGGGAGAGGUCAUGCAGUCCUGAUGGAUUAGGUUGGGCUUGCUCUGGAUCGACCAAGCCUGUCACAGGUACUGAAGAAUGGCACCCGUAUCCCCUUCUUGGAUAGAUUUCAUGCGCUUUGAUCGGAGAUAAUUUUUAUAAUCUUUUCUGGUAAAUGUAAGACUUUGCCGCCCACCUGCUUGCCUACUCAUCACCUCAUGGCCUUCUUUGGGUCUAACACCUGAAUCAUUCAAGAUGUCAAUUUGAGCUUUUUGAGCUUCUGUCA